rnacentral:tRNA from 1 species
GCCCCUGUGGAGCAGGUCGGAAGCUCGCCACCCUGUCACGGUGGAGGUCACGGGUUCAAGCCCCGUCAGGGUCGCCA